UGGGAUGUGGCCAAAUGGUAAGGCAACAGAGUUUGGCCCUGUUAUUUGUGGGUUCAAAUCCUUCCGUCCCAG
rnacentral:tRNA from 1 species